GACUCCCCAACUUUAAAAACUGAUCAACACAGAUAAGGAAACACUCACAGGCUUAGGAACCAAAACCAACUUUAAAUGCUGCCGCACUCAACAGAAAAGAGCACCAUUUAUUUCCAUAGGAAGCUUUGGAUGAAUGAGUUAUUGACGCCUCCACACUGCUUUCCACAAUGGCUGUACUCGUUUGCACUCCCACCAACACCUCCCAAUAUGAACUAAAGACCAGAGACUUUCCAGGAACCUUCUAGCCCUUCAAUAUCAAAUUAAGACUGCUGAGACAUCCAACAACCUGGACUGAGCAGCUGAGUUCUCAACUUCACCACUAUGCAGCCAUCUUGGACGAGCUCUGUUCUAUUGGAUAAGCCGUUCUAGGAAGUCUUCCUCCGAAAUAUAUAUACACCCCCAUCCAUUCUGCUCCUGUAGGGAACCGGUGUAAUACAAAAUGGCUAGA